rnacentral:lncRNA from 1 species
GACUACGUACGACUACGUGAUCGUCUUCACUGCAUCGACGCAUAUCUACAUCUUCCGCACCAGUAGUGCGUCGAGUGGUAAUCCCGUGAUCCUUAUACGGCAGUUCUUCCUGGUUAUACGCGGUAGAUUUUUUUGAAUUGCGCUAGUGUAGCCUACCUCGUAUCCCAACACGAACCCAUAAGGUUCAUACCUUUUUGGUGAAACAAAUCUGCCGCGCC